rnacentral:rRNA from 1 species
UACGGGGGGGGCAAGCGUUGUUCGGAAUUACUGGGCGUAAAGGGUUCGUAGGUGGCUUGCUAAGUCAGACGUGAAAUCCCUCAGCUCAACUGGGGAACUGCGUCUGAGACUGGCAAGCUUGAGUGCAGGAGAGGAACGCGGAAUUCCAGGUGUAGCGGUGAAAUGCGUAGAUAUCUGGAGGAACACCGGUGGCGAAGGCGGCGUUCUGGACUGCAACUGACACUGAGGAACGAAAGCCAGGGGAGCAAACGGG